GGGUGGCCAAGAAACUGGCGGAGGUUUCGAGUGCGCCUGCGCCUCUGGCACGUUCUACCAUCUUGACCCUGUUGGGGUGCUGCUGAGAACCCAAGGUCUAGUCCCAGACCUGUCAUGUUGGCUCACGGUGGUCUUCUGCACUGUACGCAUGUGCUGUGCAGACAUAAACGAAACACCCACAUGCAUAAAAAUAAAGGUGCCUGCAGAGGCCAGAGCAUGCCGGAUUCCCAGGAACUGGAGUGACAGGUGAUGGUAAACCAUUUGAAUUGGGUGCUGGGUACUCAACUCAGGUCCUCUGGAAGAGCAGCAGGCACUCGUGCAUGAGACCUGAGAAGGAUAUAAUAUCACCUGAGUAAAAAGUAAGUACACAGCAAGCAACUUCCAAAACUAUAGAAAUGACUGAGACAGCUGGCCGCCUGGACAGUCACCCAAGGUUCAUCUGCAAUGUUGUGGCAUCCAUC